rnacentral:rRNA from 1 species
AUUGAACGCUGGCGGCAUGCCUUACACAUGCAAGUCGAACGGCAGCAUGGAAGAGCUUGCUCUUCUGAUGGCGAGUGGCGAACGGGUGAGUAAAGCAUCGGAACGUACCGUGUAGUGGGGGAUAAAGUAGCGAAAGUUACGCUAAUACCGCAUACGCACUGAGGUGGAAAGCAGGGGAUCGCAAGAACUUGCGCGAUACGAGCGGCCGAUGUCAGAUUAGCUAGUUGGUAGGGUAACGGCCUACCAAGGGGACGAUCUGUAGCGGGUCUGAGAGGAUGAUCCGCCACACUGGGACUGAGACACGGCCCAGACUCCUACGGGAGGCAGCGGUGGGGAAUUUUGGACAAUGGGCGAGAGCCUGAUCCAGCCAUGCCGCGUGAGUGAAGAAGGCCUUCGGGUUGUAAAGCUCUUUCGGCUGGGAAGAAAUCGCACAGGCUAAUACUCUGUGUGGAUGACGGUACCAGCACAAGAAGCACCGGCUAACUACGUGCCAGCAGCCGCCGUAA